UGUGUGGAAAAAAAAAAAGGUAACAAAGGUUUCCGUAGGUGAACCUGCGGAAGGAUCAUUA
rnacentral:rRNA from 1 species